rnacentral:tRNA from 1 species
GCAUCUGUAGCCUAGUUGGUAAAGGAAGCACUCUUGUAUGUGGCUCAGCAUUGCUGAGGUUGUGAGUUCAAAUCUCACCAGGCACA